rnacentral:tRNA from 1 species
CUACUUUGACUAGCGCCCGGCAAAGGAAUGAUUUUUUCCCAAAGCCGACUUCCUUUAUCGAGCGGCUCUCUCUG